GAAGCAAGUUAAGUUUGCUUUUCAGAAAGGAGUGGAGGAAAGGACAGAGGCGGCAUAGAGACCAACUGGAAGGUAGAAGUGGGAAUGCAGAUUAAGGAGUUUAUUCCAGAGAGGUCACCUGUAGAAAGUCGUUUACUGUCAGGAGGAGGAUUGGGGAAAUGGAAAGUUUUGAAGGAUUCCUAGAUUUGAACCAAACCAAGCUCUCCCAUGCGGAUCCCACAUGCACUAGAACCCUCUCAAAUAGUGGUGGUUUUUCUCUUGGAGCUCACUAUCUUAGCCUUUGGCGACAGAGUCAGAAUUCUCCUCCAUCCCACUGCUGCCUCCAAACCAUUCCUCUGUCCGGGAGAGAAAUUCACGCUCCACCUGGAGCCAUCUCGGUUGCAUCACCCUCUUCCCGCCCAGCCCUGGCCUGGUGAGGCCCAGGAUGAGCCCAGCCAGGGACAAACCCAAGAACGUCUUCCCCAAGCUGGGCCCAGUCAGGCUGGUGGAAGGGUCCUAUCUAGACAGACGAGGACUGGAAGAGCUGAGGAGGAAAUGCAGACAGCCGUGGGUGCGGAGGGUCAGGCCCAGAGCACCCUGCCUGGAACCCAGGGCCGAGCAAGCACCAGACCAUGUCGUGGCUCCUCAUCGGGACGGCUGGAGCCGCACCGGGGAAGAGGAGGGCUCGACACCAGGUGUGAGGCCUCAGUGAAGCCACAGACUCGGCAGACCCCAUCAAGUGUGCAGGCUGGGGUUCCCCCACAUUCAGAGGGCGGACCCUAGCCUGCAGCUCACCGUGCCCCUCUGCCUCAGGGCCUGCUGUCACACUGGGUGGCCGCAGCGUGCGUGCGUGAGGAUAACCCAUCUCCCACGCCUCCCUACUCAAGCCCCCAAUAUUAAGUGACAGUGCCAGGCACCGAUGGACAUGCCAAGAAAGACAGGGGCCCUGCCCUCAGGCCGGCCACUGCAGGCCCGGGAGGAGCCCACCAGGAAGAUCCCAGGGGAGCGGGCGCCGAGGCCCGGGCGCCGCCCGCCUGCGCGUGCUCAGGUAGCCACGCGGAGCGCGCAGGACGCGCGGGUGUCGGCAGCCCGCCCCGCCCCCCGGGCCACGUGGCAGCAGACGUCAC
rnacentral:lncRNA from 1 species